rnacentral:rRNA from 1 species
CCCGCUGAACUUAAGCAUAUCAAUAAGCGGAGGAAAAGAAACCAACAGGGAUUGCCUCAGUAACGGCGAGUGAAGCGGCAACAGCUCAAAUUUGAAAUCUGGCUCUUUCAGGGUCCGAGUUGUAAUUUGUAGAAGAUGCUUUGGGUGUGGCUCCGGUCUAAGUUCCUUGGAACAGGACGUCAUAGAGGGUGAGAAUCCCGUACGUGACUGGGUGCCUUCGCUCGUGUAAAGCUCUUUCGACGAGUCGAGUUGUUUGGGAAUGCAGCUCAAAAUGGGUGGUAAAUUUCAUCUAAAGCUAAAUAUUGGCCAGAGACCGAUAGCGCACAAGUAGAGUGAUCGAAAGAUGAAAAGCACUUUGGAAAGAGAGUUAAACAGUACGUGAAAUUGUUGAAAGGGAAGCGCUUGCAACCAGACUUGGGCGCGGCCGAUCAUCCGGUGUUCGCACCGGUGCACUCGGCCGCGCGCAGGCCAGCAUCGGCCUAGGUGGUUGGAUAAAGGCCUUGGGAAUGUGACUCUCUUCGGGGAGUGUUAUAGCCCAAGGUGCAAUGCAGCCCACCUGGACCGAGGACCGCGCUCCGGCUAGGAUGCUGGCGUAAUGGUUGUAAGCGACCCGUCUUGAAACACGG